CCUGUAUGAAGCCGGAAUUGCUAGUAAUGGCAGGUCAGCAUACUGCCGUGAAUACGUUCCCGGGCCUUGUACACACCGCCCGUCACACCAUGAGAGUUGGGGAUACCCAAAGCCCGUGAGCCAACUUAUAAGAGGCAGGCGGUCUAAGGUAGAAUCAAUGAUUGGGGUGAAGUCGUAACAAGGUAGC
rnacentral:rRNA from 1 species